rnacentral:lncRNA from 1 species
CAGGAGCCAGGUCUCUCUCAUCUCUUCCCAUCAGAGGGCAGUGGAUCGCACCUUGGAGGAAGGGUGCAGCGGCACUUCAGCACCUUCGCAACCCAGGCCAGCCACUGCUUUGCACCGCAGCUGCUGACCYGAGAGCAACCUUGCUCUGAAAAUGCCCUCCCUUUCUCACAUCUGCUCUCUGACAACUCUCAGCAGCGAGCUGUUUGCCUCCUGCUCACUCUGCAUGCUCAGAAAUAGCCUGUGCUAUUUUUGGCACACAGCUCUGUUUGAAGUCCUCCUUUCUCUGCUCUUGGAGUUUGCACAGGUCAUCUCGAUGUGUUUACAGCAACGGCUCUUAUAGUUGGCAACGAGAUGCUUUUCCCGACAUCAGCCAUACGGCUCCUUCAAAAAAGACGCAUUUCCUCACGAUGCUCUGCUCAGUUUGAGCUGGGCUUGAAAGAGAAUUUGAAAGCAGCAGCUAGGAAUAGAGAGGCCUGUGGCUAAAAAAGCUGUAAUUAUAUUUUUCCUGAGCUUGAUCAUCCAGCCUUCCUUCAUUCCCUGGGCUCGCUGCAUGAAGAAAAACUCAGUUUUGGAGUAAAUGAAGGAAACAACACUCACAAGACAAGACAGAACACAGCAACAGGAUCACCGACUGAUACGUACAUACUCUCCCAGGUUUGGGGGAUGUUUGUUCUUACUAUUCUUGUYGUUGGUUAUGGCCUGUACACUGUAUACCCAUUUUGGUUCUGCUGUAAUGAUGAAGAAGGACAUAGGAGAAACGAGCUGGAGCUCCCAUUAGAGGAAAGACCACAGGAAUUCAGCGAACACCUCUUGGAAUGACCUUGUGUGAGAGGAUGGUGACACAUGUUUGGGUGGGACAUUAAAGCUGGGCUGGAAAAAUACCCUGCUCUCACUGUUCUUUCCAUAGCAUGGCUCUAGUUCAUAAAUUGUCUCCUG